rnacentral:rRNA from 1 species
GGUUAAGCGACUAAGCGUACACGGUGGAUGCCCUGGCAGUCAGAGGCGAUGAAGGGCGUGCUAAUCUGCGAUAAGCGCCGGUAAGGUGAUAUGAACCGUUAUAACCGGCGAUACCCGAAUGGGGAAACCCAGUGUGAUUCGUCACACUAUCAUUAACUGAAUCCAUAGGUUAAUGAGGCGAACCGGGGGAACUGAAACAUCUAAGUACCCCGAGGAAAAGAAAUCAACCGAGAUUCCCCCAGUAGCGGCGAGCGAACGGGGAGGAGCCCAGAGCCUGAAUCAGCAUGUGUGUUAGUGGAAGCGUCUGGAAAGGCGCGCGAUACAGGGUGACAGCCCCGUACACAAAAGCGCAUGUGCUGUGAGCUCGAUGAGUAGGGCGGGACACGUGGUAUCCUGUCUGAAUAUGGGGGGACCAUCCUCCAAGGCUAAAUACUCCUGACUGACCGAUAGUGAACCAGUACCGUGAGGGAAAGGCGAAAAGAACCCCGGCGAGGGGAGUGAAAAAGAACCUGAAACCGUGUACGUACAAGCAGUGGGAGCACAGGUUUACCUGUGUGACUGCGUACCUUUUGUAUAAUGGGUCAGCGACUUAUAUUCUGUAGCAAGGUUAACCGAAUAGGGGAGCCGGAGGGAAACCGAGUCUUAAUUGGGCGUUAAGUUGCAGGGUAUAGACCCGAAACCCGGUGAUCUAGCCAUGGGCAGGUUGAAGGUUGGGUAACACUAACUGGAGGACCGAACCGACUAAUGUUGAAAAAUUAGCGGAUGACCUGUGGCUGGGGGUGAAAGGCCAAUCAAACCGGGAGAUAGCUGGUUCUCCCCGAAAGCUAUUUAGGUAGCGCCUCGUGAAUUCAUCUCCGGGGGUAGAGCACUGUUUCGGCUAGGGGGCCAUCCCGGCUUACCAACCCGAUGCAAACUGCGAAUACCGGAGAAUGUUAUCACGGGAGACACACGGCGGGUGCUAACGUCCGUCGUGAAGAGGGAAACAACCCAGACCGCCAGCUAAGGUCCCAAAGUCAUGGUUAAGUGGGAAACGAUGUGGGAAGGCCCAGACAGCCAGGAUGUUGGCUUAGAAGCAGCCAUCAUUUAAAGAAAGCGUAAUAGCUCACUGGUCGAGUCGGCCUGCGCGGAAGAUGUAACGGGGCUAAACCAUGCACCGAAGCUGCGGCAGCGACGCUUAUGCGUUGUUGGGUAGGGGAGCGUUCUGUAAGCCUGUGAAGGUGGCCUGUGAGGGUUGCUGGAGGUAUCAGAAGUGCGAAUGCUGACAUAAGUAACGAUAAAGCGGGUGAAAAGCCCGCUCGCCGGAAGACCAAGGGUUCCUGUCCAACGUUAAUCGGGGCAGGGUGAGUCGACCCCUAAGGCGAGGCCGAAAGGCGUAGUCGAUGGGAAACGGGUUAAUAUUCCCGUACUUGGUGUUACUGCGAAGGGGGGACGGAGAAGGCUAUGUUGGCCGGGCGACGGUUGUCCCGGUUUAAGCGUGUAGGUGUGUGUUCCAGGUAAAUCCGGUUCACUUUAACACUGAGGCGUGACGACGAGGCACUACGGUGCUGAAGCAACAAAUGCCCUGCUUCCAGGAAAAGCCUCUAAGCAUCAGGUAACAUCAAAUCGUACCCCAAACCGACACAGGUGGUCAGGUAGAGAAUACCAAGGCGCUUGAGAGAACUCGGGUGAAGGAACUAGGCAAAAUGGUGCCGUAACUUCGGGAGAAGGCACGCUGACACGUAGGUGAAGUGAUUUACUCAUGGAGCUGAAGUCAGUCGAAGAUACCAGCUGGCUGCAACUGUUUAUUAAAAACACAGCACUGUGCAAACACGAAAGUGGACGUAUACGGUGUGACGCCUGCCCGGUGCCGGAAGGUUAAUUGAUGGGGUCAGCGCAAGCGAAGCUCCUGAUCGAAGCCCCGGUAAACGGCGGCCGUAACUAUAACGGUCCUAAGGUAGCGAAAUUCCUUGUCGGGUAAGUUCCGACCUGCACGAAUGGCGUAAUGAUGGCCAGGCUGUCUCCACCCGAGACUCAGUGAAAUUGAACUCGCUGUGAAGAUGCAGUGUACCCGCGGCAAGACGGAAAGACCCCGUGAACCUUUACUAUAGCUUGACACUGAACAUUGAGCCUUGAUGUGUAGGAUAGGUGGGAGGCUUUGAAGUGUGGACGCCAGUCUGCAUGGAGCCGACCUUGAAAUACCACCCUUUAAUGUUUGAUGUUCUAACGUGGACCCGUGAUCCGGGUUGCGGACAGUGUCUGGUGGGUAGUUUGACUGGGGCGGUCUCCUCCUAAAGAGUAACGGAGGAGCACGAAGGUUGGCUAAUCCUGGUCGGACAUCAGGAGGUUAGUGCAAUGGCAUAAGCCAGCUUGACUGCGAGCGUGACGGCGCGAGCAGGUGCGAAAGCAGGUCAUAGUGAUCCGGUGGUUCUGAAUGGAAGGGCCAUCGCUCAACGGAUAAAAGGUACUCCGGGGAUAACAGGCUGAUACCGCCCAAGAGUUCAUAUCGACGGCGGUGUUUGGCACCUCGAUGUCGGCUCAUCACAUCCUGGGGCUGAAGUAGGUCCCAAGGGUAUGGCUGUUCGCCAUUUAAAGUGGUACGCGAGCUGGGUUUAGAACGUCGUGAGACAGUUCGGUCCCUAUCUGCCGUGGGCGCUGGAGAACUGAGGGGGGCUGCUCCUAGUACGAGAGGACCGGAGUGGACGCAUCACUGGUGUUCGGGUUGUCAUGCCAAUGGCACUGCCCGGUAGCUAAAUGCGGAAGAGAUAAGUGCUGAAAGCAUCUAAGCACGAAACUUGCCCCGAGAUGAGUUCUCCCUGAGACUUAGAGUCUCCUGAAGGAACGUUGAAGACGACGACGUUGAUAGGCCGGGUGUGUAAGCGCAGCGAUGCGUUGAGCUAACCGGUACUAAUGAACCGUGAGGCUUAACCUUAC